rnacentral:rRNA from 1 species
GAUGAACGCUGGCGGCGUGCCUAAUACAUGCAAGUCGAGCGAACAGACGAGGAGCUUGCUCCUCUGACGUUAGCGGCGGACGGGUGAGUAACACGUGGAUAACCUACCUAUAAGACUGGGAUAACUUCGGGAAACCGGAGCUAAUACCGGAUAAUAUAUUGAACCGCAUGGUUCAAUAGUGAAAGACGGUUUUGCUGUCACUUAUAGAUGGAUCCGCGCCGCAUUAGCUAGUUGGUAAGGUAACGGCUUACCAAGGCAACGAUGCGUAGCCGACCUGAGAGGGUGAUCGGCCAUACUGGAACUGAGACACGGUCCAGACUCCUACGGGAGGCAGCAGUAGGGAAUCUUCCGCAAAGGGCGAAAGCCUGACGGAACAACGCCGCGUGAGUGAUGAAGGUCUUCGGAUCGUAAAACUCUGUUAUUAGGGAAGAACAAAUGUGUAAGUAACUAUGCACGUCUUGACGGUACCUAAUCAGAAAGCCACGACUAACUACGUG